rnacentral:tRNA from 1 species
GCCCUCGUGGCCUAAUGGAUAAGGCAUCGGUCUCCUAAACCGGGGAUUGCGGGUUGAAUCCCGCCGAGGGUA